AUUGAACGCUGGCGGCAGGCCUAACACAUGCAAGUCGAACGAGUGGCGGACGGGUGAGUAAUGUCUGGGAAACUGCCCGAUGGAGGGGGAUAACUACUGGAAACGGUAGCUAAUACCGCAUACCAUCAGAUGUGCCCCGAUGGGAUUAGCUAGUAGGUGGGGUAAUGGCUCACCUAGGCGACGAUCCCUAGCUGGUCUGAGAGGAUGACCAGAGACUCGGGAACGGAGACACGGUCCAGACUCCUACGUGAGGCAGCAGUGGGGAAUAUUGCACAAGGGGCGCAAGCCUGAUGCAGCCAUGCCGCGUGUGGGAAGAAGGCCUUCGGGUUGUAAAGCACUUUCAGCGAGGAGGCGUUACCCGCAGAAGAAGCACCGGCUAACUCCGUGCCAGCAGCCGCGGUAAUAC
rnacentral:rRNA from 1 species